rnacentral:rRNA from 1 species
CCUACGGGCGGCAGCAGUGAGGAAUAUUGGUCAAUGGACGAGAGUCUGAACCAGCCAAGUAGCGUGAAGGAUGACUGCCCUAUGGGUUGUAAACUUCUUUUAUAAAGGAAUAAAACGAGGCACGUGUGCCUUUUUGCAUGUACUUUAUGAAUAAGGAUCGGCUAACUCCGGGCCAGCAGCCGCGGUAAUAAGGAGGAUCCGAGCGUUAUCCGGAUUUAUUGGGUUUAAAGGGAGCGUAGAUGGGUUGUUAAGUCAGUUGUUAAAGUUUGCGGCUCAACCGUAAAAUUGCAAUUGAUACUGGCAGUCUUGAGUACAGUUGAGGUAGGCGGAAUUCGUGGUGUAGCGGUGAAAUGCUUAGAUAUCACGAAGAACCCCGAUUGCGAAGGCAGCUUACUAAACUGUGACUGACAUUGAUGCUCGAAAGUGUGGGUAUCAAACAGGAUUAGAUACCCUUGUAGUC